CGCUGGCAUUUUUUACUCCAAUGUACACUUUCAGUGCACUGAGACUGUUUAAAUCAGAAUGAAGUGACUUGGUGACAGCACAGCACUGGAUCAGGGACACUGGGAGACUCACCAGACAACAUUGACCAUGGACUCUCCAUUCCCAUUGCUCCCACUGCAGCAUCCUCAUUUCUCACAGUUCUGUUUCAAGGACUCCCCUCAAGAAAAGGAUCUCUCUAGUCCCAGCAGCAAACACCCAAGGCAAUUUUUACUCCCUGCAAACAGCAGGACUGACCAAGGAAAGCUGCUGUCAUAGGAAAAGCAGGGGAUUGUGAUGAUCACACACCUUCCCUGGUGAAAGUUUCAGCUCCUAUCACCACCCCUGAGCAGCUCUGCCUCGGUCCCCCCCACCUGCUCCAAAAUGGCUCCCUGGGGUUUAGCUCCAGCUCUUCGGACUUGUCCAUCCCCACUGCUCUGCCAGGCAGCACCCAACAGCACAGCAGGGGAACACCUGAGCAGGUACAACCAGGGGCACACCAAGGCCACCAGGUCCUGCAACACAGCUUCUUGUGUUUCAGGGCCUCUGAUUUUUGGUAGGGAAUCACUGGAAUUUAUUUAUAAAUUCCUUUUGAAAUAUGCCUUCUCGUUCUACUGUACUAUAUACAGGAAUAUAAGAAACUCUGAAGAUACAUCUGAAAGUUUUGAAAGUAAUGCCGUAACGUUUUUAUCUAGGAAUGAACCAAGCCGUGCCCUGAAAGCAUAAGAGCAGCUGCAGGGGCUGAAGGGAACCUCUUGCCUCCGUUCUCCGCCUGCCCCCGGGGCGAGGGGCAGCCCCGGCUGUGGCCGGCGGCAGUGCUGCCGCCUUGUGGACAGGGAGCGGUACUGCAGCCUCCGGCAGCGCCCUGCCCCUCGCUGCCCAGCGUGGUUAGGGCGGCAGUGCUGCCGCCUUGUGGACAGGGAGCGGGACUGCGUGCGUGCGCCUCUCAAGACGGCGCAAGCGACCGCCUGGCAGGACCCUUCCGGAGCCGGGCCGAGCUCCAGACACCCUCAAGACGGCGCCGCCCCGGCGGGAUUUUCCGCGGCGUUUUCAGGGGUACGGACACGGGCUGCGGGCUCAGCGGCGCCGCGGGCGGGAGCAAACGAGCAGCGGCGGGGACGCCUCUCUCUGCGAGGUCCUGCCGCCAUCUGGGGGAUGGCCCGGCGCCGUGCCGUGCCGGGUGCCCGUCCUGUCCCCGGUGCCUCCGCGCUGUCCCCGCUCUCCCCCGGCCGGGGAAAUGGAGGAAAGCACAAAACAUCAGGGCAGAACAGUCUGCCCGCAGCCGGGAGCGGCCAGCAGGAGCCAGCAGCUGCUCUUUGCCAGUAAAGACUGUGGAGCAUCAGGGAGAAUAUUUGGCAUAAAGAAAUGAAAGGCACGAGGGAAGCUCCGUGUUCCCAAGAGAAUUCUUUGAGCACCACGUGCAUCUUCUGAACCGCACUGAUAAUCCCGACUCCGGCAGAAACCUUCCAAAGCUGGAAUGGACAGGGAAGAAAAUUCCAGGAGCAGUGGGAAGUGCUUUCUCACAGGUCACAGUGGUGUUGAGGUUCGCACGAGUUCCAGAUAUUCAUGGGGCCUCUCCUGUUGCCUGCCCAGGACGGAGGCGGUGUUCCUUGAGUGGCUGCAGUUCCCUGCAUGUGGAGGGAGCAGAUCCGUGCUGGAGAGUGGGUGAAAGGUCCCCGCUGCUUGCCGUGUCCUCGGUGGGCAGAGAGCUCUGACCUCGGCUGGAUGGGCAGCCAAUUUUGAAGUGCUCACCAGAGAUCUGCCAGAGAUCUGGGAGGAAAAGCAGAGCCAAGCACUGAGAACUGACGUGUGAGCCCUGGUGAGGACUGCCGCUCCCUCUGCCUUGGUGUGGGACCUCCUGAGGUCCCAUUCUGAUGCUGGGAGUGUUUCUCCUCUCAUCCAGCCAAGCCAGAGACCUCCUAGGGAACAAGCAGGUCAGCACGAAGACUGAAUGUGUAAGAAGAUGUGGGGUGCAAUGGAGAACCUGGCAGGAGCAUCCGACGCACACGUGCACGAGUUUUGCUUUUUGCUUGGAUUUCAACUCAGAAGUUGUAAGGAAUUUGGGAAUGAGAUGGGAUGUUUCAGAAGAAGAGGAAGGAGGAGAAAAGGAAGUUGUUGUUACAGUCCUGGCAAAAUCUUUUGUUCUAGCUAAUAAAAGAAGUUAAAAAAAAAAAAGCAAAAAAA